rnacentral:rRNA from 1 species
AGAGUUUGAUCCUGGCUCAGAUUGAACGCUGGCGGCAUGCCUUACACAUGCAAGUCGAACGGCAGCACGGGGGCAACCCUGGUGGCGAGUGGCGAACGGGUGAGUAAUACAUCGGAACGUGUCCUGUAGUGGGGGAUAGCCCGGCGAAAGCCGGAUUAAUACCGCAUACGCUCUACGGAGGAAAGGGGGGGAUCUUAGGACCUCCCGCUACAGGGGCGGCCGAUGGCAGAUUAGCUAGUUGGUGGGGUAAAGGCCUACCAAGGCGACGAUCUGUAGCUGGUCUGAGAGGACGACCAGCCACACUGGGGCUGAGACACGGCCCAGACUCCUACGGGAGGCAGCAGUGGGGAAUUUUGGACAAUGGGGGCAACCCUGAUCCAGCAAUGCCGCGUGUGUGAAGAAGGCCUUCGGGUUGUAAAGCACUUUUGUCCGGAAAGAAAACGCCGUGGUUAAUACCCGUGGCGGAUGACGGUACCGAAGAAUA